rnacentral:rRNA from 1 species
CGCAUCUGUGCAUGCAGCAUAUCAAUAAGCGGAGGAAAAGAAACUAACAAGGAUUCCCUUAGUAACGGCGAGUGAAGCGGGAAGAGCUCAAAUUUGAAAUCUUCAAGGCUUUUACCUUGACGAAUUGUAGUUUAAAGAAGUGUUUUCUGCUGAAGUUUUGGUAAAAGUUCUUUGGAAUAGGACAUCAUAGAGGGUGAGAAUCCCGUAUUUGACCAUUAUUUUCAGCUUUGUGAGACACUUUCAAAGAGUCGGAUUGUUUGGGAAUGCAGUCCAAAAUGGGUGGUAAAUUUCAUCUAAAGCUAAAUAUUGGCGAGAGACCGAUAGCGAACAAGUACCGUGAGGGAAAGAUGAAAAGAACUUUGAAAAGAGAGUUAAACAGUACGUGAAAUUGUCAAAAGGGAAGCGUUUGACACCAGUGUUGUUUUCUCGAAAAUCAAUUAAAAAUGGCUCGAUGUUGUAUUGCUGAGACCUUAAAAGCUCACUGUAUAUUUUUCGUGUCUUUUUUAAUGCACUUUUCGUUUAACAAGUCAACAUCAGUUUCUUUUGUUGUAAAAGGGUCAUUGGAAGGUGGCUUUCUUUUCGGAGAAAGUGUUUAUAGCCUUUGGCCUCUGCAAUCGGAGAGACUGAGGUCUGCAGCGUAGACUCUUCGGGGUUAGAUACAUUUGUGCUAAGUUACUAGCUUUUUAUAGACAACUUGUUGACUAUAAUUAGUCUUGUAGCUUACUCACUUAUGCUAUUUUACCUACGCUUAGGAUGUUGACGCAUGAGAUAUACGC